GAUUUAUAAAGAAGAGGCGAGAGACAGGCUCUAUGACCCUCUGGCAACCUGGAAAGUCCAAGGUGCCAAUUCCUGCCAAAUGAGAAGGUCUCAUUUGGAACUAUAAAUU
rfam:Algoriphagus sp. M8-2, complete genome.